rnacentral:rRNA from 1 species
AUUGAACGCUGGCGGCAUGCCUUACACAUGCAAGUCGAACGGUAACAGGUUAAGCUGACGAGUGGCGAACGGGUGAGUAAUGUAUCGGAACGUGCCCAGUCGUGGGGGAUAACUACUCGAAAGAGUGGCUAAUACCGCAUACGACCUGAGGGUGAAAGCGGGGGACCGUAAGGCCUCGCGCGAUUGGAGCGGCCGAUAUCAGAUUAGGUAGUUGGUGGGGUAAAGGCUCACCAAGCCGACGAUCUGUAGCUGGUCUGAGAGGACGACCAGCCACACUGGGACUGAGACACGGCCCAGACUCCUACGGGAGGCAGCAGUGGGGAAUUUUGGACAAUGGACGCAAGUCUGAUCCAGCCAUGCCGCGUGCGGGAAGAAGGCCUCGGUUGUAAGACCUCGUGGGAGGGAAGAAGUGAGCCAUGGCGUAAUAUCCAUGGUGAUGACGGUACCUCCUUAGCAAGCACCGGCUAACUCUGUGCCAGCAG